rnacentral:rRNA from 1 species
UACAGAGGGGGCAAGCGUUGUUCGGAAUUACUGGGCGUAAAGGGCGCGUAGGCGGCCUGCUAAGUCGAACGUGAAAUCCCCGAGCUCAACUCGGGAACUGCGUCCGAUACUGACAGGCUUGAAUCCGGGAGAGGGAUGCGGAAUUCCAGGUGUAGCGGUGAAAUGCGUAGAUAUCUGGAGGAACACCGGUGGCGAAGGCGGCAUCCUGGACCGGCAUUGACGCUGAGGCGCGAAAGCGUGGGGAGCAAACAGG